AGUGAACGCUGGCGGCAGGCCUAACACAUGCAAGUCGAGCGGCAGCGCGGGGGCAACCCUGGCGGCGAGCGGCGGACGGGUGAGGAAUUCGUCGGAAUCUGCCUUUUUGUGGGGGAUAACGUAGGGAAACUUACGCUAAUACCGCAUACGUCCUACGGGAGAAAGUGGGGGACCGCAAGGCCUCACGCAGAAAGAUGAGCCGACGACCGAUUAGCUAGUUGGUGGGGUAAAGGCCCACCAAGGCGACGAUCGGUAGCUGGUCUGAGAGGAUGAUCAGCCACACUGGGACUGAGACACGGCCCAGACUCCUACGGGAGGCAGCAGUGGGGAAUAUUGGACAAAGGGCGCAAGCCUGAUCCAGCCAUGCCGCGUGUGUGAAGAAGGCCUUCGGGUUGUAAAGCACUUUUGUCCGGAAAGAAAUCACUGGAGCUAAUACCUUCGGGGGAUGACGGUACCGGAAGAAUAAGCACCGGCUAACUUCGUG
rnacentral:rRNA from 1 species